rnacentral:lncRNA from 1 species
CAUGGUCCUAAAACCUCCCACCCCCAACUCCCAGUCCCGUUCCCAAGAAGAUGGGGAGAAAGGGCACUGGCAACCCCAUGCAGUGAGAUCAGCCCCAGCCAGCCCAGGAGUCCCUGACAGGUGCCCAGGGCUGCCUCUCCAUGGUCCUAGAGCCCCUCGCUUAUGUGCUGAGCACCGACUGAGAAUGAAGAUGCUGGAGAAGGCUCGCCAGACCCUCGUCCCUUCCCACGCUCAAAAAUUCCAGGACUUUUCUUCCUAGAAGUUCAAGGCUGUA